UACGUAGGGUGCAAGCGUUAAUCGGAGUUACUGGGCGUAAAGCGUGCGCAGGCGGUUAUGUAAGACAGUUGUGAAAUCCCCGGGCUCAACCUGGGAACUGCAUCUGUGACUGCAUAGCUAGAGUACGGUAGAGGGGGAUGGAAUUCCGCGUGUAGCAGUGAAAUGCGUAGAUAUGCGGAGGAACACCGAUGGCGAAGGCAGUCCCCUGGACCUGUACUGACGCUCAUGCACGAAAGCGUGGGGAGCAAACAGG
rnacentral:rRNA from 1 species